rnacentral:rRNA from 1 species
CCUACGGGAGGCAGCAGUGAGGAAUAUUGGUCAAUGGGCGGGAGCCUGAACCAGCCAAGCCGCGUGAGGGAAGAAGGUACAGCGUAUCGUAAACCUCUUUUGUCAGGGAACAAAGGCGGGGACUAGUCCCCUGAUGAGGGUACCUGAAGAAAAAGCAUCGGCUAACUCCGUGCCAGCAGCCGCGGUAAUACGGAGGAUGCGAGCGUUAUCCGGAUUUAUUGGGUUUAAAGGGUGCGCAGGGGGCCUGUUAAGUCAGCGGUAAAAGCCCGGGGCUCAACCCCGGCGAGCCGUUGAAACUGGCGGGCUGGAGUUGGAGAGAAGUACGCGGAAUGCGCGGUGUAGCGGUGAAAUGCUUAGAUAUCGCGCAGAACCCCGAUUGCGAAGGCAGCGUACCGGCUCCACACUGACGCUGAGGCACGAAAGCGUGGGUAUCGAACAGGAUUAGAUACCCUUGUAGUC